AGAACGAACGCUGGCGGCAUGCCUAAUACAUGCAAGUCGAACGAACUCUUCGGAGUUAGUGGCGCACGGGUGCGUAACGCGUGGGAAUCUGCCCUUGGGUUCGGAAUAACAGUUGGAAACGACUGCUAAUACCGGAUGAUGACGAAAGUCCAAAGAUUUAUCGCCCAGGGAUGAGCCCGCGUAGGAUUAGCUAGUUGGUGAGGUAAAGGCUCACCAAGGCGACGAUCCUUAGCUGGUCUGAGAGGAUGAUCAGCCACACUGGGACUGAGACACGGCCCAGACUCCUACGGGAGGCAGCAGUAGGGAAUAUUGGACAAUGGGCGAAAGCCUGAUCCAGCAAUGCCGCGUGAGUGAUGAAGCUUAGGUGUAAAGCUCUUUACCCGAGAUGAUAAUGACAGUAGUCGGAGAAGUAACGCCCCGGUACUAACCGUCCGUCGACCCAGCCACGCCGAC
rnacentral:rRNA from 1 species